CUUCCAGCUCCUGUCUGUCCUGGGUGCCCUCAAUGUGCUGGAUGGCCUGCACAGAAAGGAGGUUGAGCUACCGAGACUAGGCCAGCUGCUUUCUGCCCAGAACAGUCCAGAAAUAAACUAAGCCAAGCAAAGCAGGGGCAAUAAAACAGCAAACAGCUGAAGCUUCAAAGGACUGCCGUGAGGAUUCUACUCUACCUUCCGAUCCUCCCAAAACACCUAAACGCGGCAUGCCUGUUUGCACCUACGUAGUCUAAGGCCCGCCAAUGGAUUCUGAGAUCCCUACCACAGCCCAGGGGGCCCCUCCUGGAGUCUCCUCUCACCUGGGUCCGCAGGUGCUGCUGUUCCCGCUCCAGCUUCUCCUGGUGCAGCAGCCGCACCUGCUCCUGCUGCUGUUGCAGCUGCACCUGCUGGGCAAUCACCUUGAGUUUUUCCGGGUACAUGUGGGCCUCCAGAGAGCGCACCUGCAGGUGGGACAGCACAGCACUGAGAGGUGGAGCAGGACUACACCUGCUCUACCAGCUGCAAAGGCCGUUCACUGACACCACAGGGCAAUGCUAAACCUAGAACCCUGGCAGAGUGCGCCCUCUUCAGGGCAGACAGAAGACAGUCCCCUCCUCACCUCUAAACUUUUGUCUCUACCGUUUCCAAUACAAAGAAACCCCCUUUCC